ensembl:lncRNA
GGGUGUUAUUAAAAUCUAAAUUAUAUAAACGUGCAAUUAAAUAAAUUAUAUUAGGAACAAAAGCCAUAAAUACUCAAAACUCAUCACUUCCUAAUUAUUUUACUGUGAUCUAUGUUUGUAAUGUUUGGUUGCCUCCACUGAACCUGGAGAGGGAAACUAUGACAUGAGAAGGGGUCCCUGUCUAUCUUCCCCCAACUUUGUGUUUUAACAACAUCACGUUGGUAGCUUGAAAGUGGCCCUGAUGGGAAUGUGGAUACCGUGGAAAUCAGCACAUUCUAUACAUUUUGGGCUUUUCUUGAUUUCUUUUCCAGAGAUCUGGCUGUUCAAAGGUUAUUAGCACACCUCUGCUUGAAAUCCACCAAAGCCACGCUUCCGUGUCCCGUUAAGCAAGAGGCCAGCCUCCUUCACACCAUCUUCUACAUUAUUUGGAUGCAUUUUCCCAAUUUGAGGUUUGCUUUGGAUGUCCAGAGCCUCAAAAAUGUGGUAGAAAAGACUUGGAAUCCCCUUCUGGCUUGAAUGGAGGUGUGUUGGAUAGUAGGUGAAGUGCAAGUUUGCUAACCAGGAUGGGACAUGAGCUAAGAAGACGCACGGGCUUUCUGGAAGUGUAACAUAAAAUGCUAACAGUGUUGAUA